AUGAACAUCUGUGCCCUACAGAACCUCUGUGCCCUACAAAACCUCUGUCCUACAGAACCCCUGUGCCCUACAGAACAUCUGUGCCCUACAGAACCUCUGUGCCCUACAAAACCUCUGUCCUACAGAACCCCUGUGCCCUACAGAACAUCUGUGCCCUACAGAACCUCUGUGCCCUACAAAACCUCUGUCCUACAGAACCCCUGUGCCCUACAGAACAUCUGUGCCCUACAGAACCUCUGUGCCCUACAAAACCUCUGUCCUACAGAACCCCUGUGCCCUACAGAACAUCUGUGCCCUACAGAACCUCUGUGCCCUACAAAACCUCUGUCCUACAGAACCCCUGUGCCCUACAGAACAUCUGUGCCCUACAGAACCACUGUGCCCUACAAAACAUCUGUCCUACAGAACCCCUGUGCCCUACAGAACACAAAACAUCUGUAUCCUGCAAAACCCCUGUGCCCUACAAAAGCCCUGUUCUCUACAAACCCUCUGUGCCCAGAAAACCUCUGUCCUACAGAACCUCUGUGCCCUACAAAACAUCUGUGCCCUACAGAACCCCUGUGCCCUGGGAGCCACCAGCCCUGGGCAAGGCUGUGUCCUACAAAACCUCUGUCCUACAAAAGCUCUAUGUCCUACAAAACAUCUGUAUCCUGCAAAACCCCUGUGCCCUACAAAACAUCUGUAUCCUGCAAAACCCCUGUGCCCUACAAAAGCCCUGUUCUCUACAAACCCACUGUGCCCUACAAAACAUCUGUCCUACAGAACCCCUGUGCCCUACAGAACCCCUGUGCCCUACAAAACCUCUGUCCUACAGAACCCCUGUGCCCUACAGAACAUCUGUGCCCUACAGGCUGUGCUUGGUCUGCUCUGGCUUUGGGAUUGGGCUUUGAGAUUGGGAUUGUCCCCGUGUCCCUGUUCCUGUGUCCCCAUGUCCCCAUGCCCGUAUCUCCAUGUCCAUGUCCCUGUCUCUGUUCCUGUCCCCACAUCCCUGACCCCAUAUCCCCCUGUCCCCAUAUCCCAUGUCCCUGUGUUCCCAUGUCUCUGUGUCCAUAA
rnacentral:lncRNA from 1 species